rnacentral:rRNA from 1 species
AGAGUUUGAUCCUGGCUCAGGAUGAACGCUAGCUACAGGCUUAACACAUGCAAGUCGAGGGGCAGCAUCAUCAAAGCUUGCUUUGAUGGAUGGCGACCGGCGCACGGGUGAGUAACACGUAUCCAACCUGCCGACAACACUGGGAUAGCCUUUCGAAAGAAAGAUUAAUACCGGAUGGCAUAAUUAUUCCGCAUGGGAUAAUUAUUAAAGAAUUUCGGUUGUCGAUGGGGAUGCGUUCCAUUAGGCAGUUGGCGGGGUAACGGCCCACCAAACCUACGAUGGAUAGGGGUUCUGAGAGGAAGGUCCCCCACAUUGGAACUGAGACACGGUCCAAACUCCUACGGGAGGCAGCAGUGAGGAAUAUUGGUCAAUGGACGAGAGUCUGAACCAGCCAAGUAGCGUGAAGGAUGACUGCCCUAUGGGUUGUAAACUUCUUUUAUAAAGGAAUAAAGUCGGGUAUGCAUACCCGUUUGCAUGUACUUUAUGAAUAAGGAUCGGCUAACUCCGUGCCAGCAGCCGCGGUAAUACGGAGGAUCCGAGCGUUAUCCGGAUUUAUUGGGUUUAAAGGGAGCGUAGAUGGAUGUUUAAGUCAGUUGUGAAAGUUUGCGGCUCAACCGUAAAAUUGCAGUUGAUACUGGAUAUCUUGAGUGCAGUUGAGGCAGGCGGAAUUCGUGGUGUAGCGGUGAAAUGCUUAGAUAUCACGAAGAACUCCGAUUGCGAAGGCAGCUUACUGGAUUGUAACUGACGCUGAUGCUCGAAAGUGUGGGUAUCAAACAGGAUUAGAUACCCUGGUAGUCCACACAGUAAACGAUGAAUACUCGCUGUUUGCGAUAUACAGUAAGCGGCCAAGCGAAAGCGUUAAGUAUUCCACCUGGGGAGUACGCCGGCAACGGUGAAAC